GAGACAGCAGCAGCCGCGGGAAUACGAAGGGGGCUAGCGUUGCUCGGAAUGACUGGGCGUAAAGGGCGCGUAGGCGGCGAUCAAAGUCAGGCGUGAAAUUCCUGGGCUCAACCUGGGGGCUGCGCUUGAUACUUGGUUGCUUGAGUGGGGAAGAGGGUCGUGGAAUUCCCAGUGUAGAGGUGAAAUUCGUAGAUAUUGGGAAGAACACCGGUGGCGAAGGCGGCGACCUGGUCCUUGACUGACGCUGAGGCGCGAAAGCGUGGGGAGCAAACAGGAUUAGAGACCCCCGUAGUCCCUGUCUCUUAUAC
rnacentral:rRNA from 1 species